GCCCAGGUGGCGGAACUGGCAGACGCGCUAGCUUCAGGAGCUAGUGGGAUCACUCCCGUGCAGGUUCGAUUCCUGUCUUGGGCA
rnacentral:tRNA from 3 species